UGUUCACUUGGGCCACAAAAUGCUAAAAUUGGAAGAACACAGAAAAAGUAUCAUGGGUUCAGCACAAAGAUGAUACAGAUUUCUGAACCAUUUCAUAUUUUU
rnacentral:snRNA from 1 species